GUGUGGAGCAGCAGGAAAAAGGGCAGCAUAGCAAGUUCCAUACAAACAUGAGGAGGAACUUCUUUACUUUGAGAGUUGCUAGAGAAUUACCAAGCAGACGACCAUGGAAACUCUCCACAGAAAAUAAUACUUGAAACAGUGCACUUCCUCAGAGCAGUUUACCACCAGAGCCUUCUCUAACGGCUGGUGGGUCAUUGCCUGUUUACCUUGGAUCUGGUCCAUGCCUGUAUUCUGAGUUUCCUGAUGGAGCUGCUUUGGGCCUCCCAGUAGGAAGAAAAGUUCCUGCUCCCUGGACGCUGCCACUGAUGUUUGUUCACCUGACUCCCCACCUGUACCCACUGUAGCUAUAUGUUACCACAUUUCAUCAGGUUCUUUCUCCUGAAACACUGCCAAAUGCCACCUCACCUUUAUAGCCUGAAAGGAAAGUCAGUAAACUUGCACCAAACCUGAUCUCGGCUUCCUGAGCCAAACUUUUGUAACCUGCUUAGAGAUCCUGAGCUGUGGCAGGAGCAUUUCAGCCUGAAGGAAGGAGGUGUUGGACACUACUCCAACCCAGGAAUCCCCUGGAUUCCCCCACUGCUGCAGGCCAGGAGGUGGGCUGUGCCUCCAAGCAUUAAUAACCCAAAGAACAGUUUUUACUCCAUUGUCUCUCUAAAAAUUGGUAUAAAUGAAAGCUACUCAAAAUAUGGAGGAAAAAAAAAUAGUAGCAAAGCUUAACUUUGUAGAAGUAUCACUUGAGGAUAAAUGCACCAAUAUUUGUGGGAUUCUCAGCCUCUGGGUCCUGGAGGUUAUGGCAAUGACAGGCAGCUGUCAAUUCAAGCACAGGGAAAUAAAAUACCUGAAAAAUAUCAAAGUCAAUAGGUUACCUGCAGGUAAUUUGGAGAUGGGAGGUUUGUCAUGUGUUUUAGAUGUUGCCUGUCAAGUUUUUAUGAGGCUCUCAAGGCCUAGCUUACAACUUUGUGCUUGCACAACCCAGUUGUGGUGGCAAAGGGCAGCCAUGGGGCUGGCCCUGGGUGCAGGAGGUGUAGAGAUAACCCUGCUUGGCAGGAACUGAGCAAGCAAGGGCACCUCUACCCAUAGGAAUGAGGUUUUCAACUGCUGAGACUUUAUUACAGUGGAAACAUGCAUUUUUUUGUAGGCUACUUUGGUACUGUCUUAUAAGAAAGGCCAAAACUCCAAGAAAUUUAGUGUUGGAUGUCACUUG
ensembl:lncRNA